AGUUUGAUCUCAGACUGCUGUGCUAGCAAUCAGCGAGACUCCGUGGGCGUAGGACCCUCCGAGCCAGAUGAAGAUCCUGAAUACCAAAGAGGGCCGCUGACAGGUCUAGGAGUACACUUCUAGCACCUAGCAGAGAGAGGCUUCACUACAUCAUGCUUCCUGACAUCUCUCCCUUUGAAGAGCAGUCAGACUCCUGCUUUGCUCUUCAGACUUAAUUUGGGGGUUUAACAGCCAUGUGAAGUGCUCACUCCCCCUUUGCCUUCUGCCAUGAUUGUGUGUUUCCUGAGGCCUCCCCAGAAGCUGAGAAGAUGCUUCCUGUACAGCCUGCAGAACUGGAUAGCCCAGAGCUAUUCCAUGUAUUCCAUGGAUGGGCACAUUUGGAAGUUUGGUUCUAAAAUCUAAAAGAAGAAAUUUAAGUGUGCUGAAGAUAACUGCAACUCCAAACCUAACGCUGUGUAAUUCUAUGUUCUGCCAUUUUGAAGCAAAGUGGAACCAGAAGUGAGAGGACUAUUUCUAGGUCAUGCUACGGUUACCCUGACCCCAGUCACUCCCUAUGCUGGUCCAUCCAAACUCAGAGCCACGA
rnacentral:lncRNA from 10 species